rnacentral:lncRNA from 1 species
AGAAGGAUACGGUGAUCACAACGGUGAAAUAGUCACAUCAAAUGAGAAUCGAAAAGGGCCUCAUUGGAGGCAUUUAUUGAAACACCUCGCGGCGGUGCCGCCGAGCUUCGGCGCCAUUUUUCGGUCAAUCGACCGGUUCUUUCACUACGAUUUGGCCAUGAGCGUGUUUAAAAUUGAAUUUCGUGCAAGAGAAGAAUUUUUUACCUCGUUUGGCGAUCGAAAAUUACUCCGGUACGGUGGCGGAAGCGGCGGUCGGCUCUCUGGCGGCUGGGCUGUCUUCUCCGGUGAGGAGCUCUGGCGGCUAGGGUUAGGGUUUGGGUGCGGAUGAGGUUAUUUAUACUCAUUCGCUUUUGAUCUGGGUCGUUCAUCGCUUUUAAUUUGGACCGUUCGCUUGCGAUUAAAUAGGGAGUGAAUU